rnacentral:rRNA from 1 species
CCUACGGGAGGCAGCAGUGGGGAAUAUUGGACAAUGGGCGAAAGCCUGAUCCAGCAAUGCCGCGUGAGUGAUGAAGGCCUUAGGGUUGUAAAGCUCUUUUACCAGGGAUGAUAAUGACAGUACCUGGAGAAUAAGCUCCGGCUAACUCCGUGCCAGCAGCCGCGGUAAUACGGAGGGAGCUAGCGUUGUUCGGAAUUACUGGGCGUAAAGCGUGCGUAGGCGGUUAUUCAAGUCAGAGGUGAAAGCCCGGGGCUCAACCCCGGAACGGCCUUUGAAACUAGAUAACUAGAAUCUUGGAGAGGUUAGUGGAAUUCCGAGUGUAGAGGUGAAAUUCGUAGAUAUUCGGAAGAACACCAGUGGCGAAGGCGACUAACUGGACAAGCAUUGACGCUGAGGUACGAAAGCGUGGGGAGCAAACAGGAUUAGAUACCCUGGUAGUCCACGCCGUAAACGAUGAUAACUAGCUGUCCGGGCACUUGGUGCUUGGGUGGCGCAGCUAACGCAUUAAGUUAUCCGCCUGGGGAGUACGGUCGCAAGAUUAAAACUCAAAGUAUAGUAGGCGCGUGAGUGCGACGACGCACGACGGAGGUAG